GACGAACGCUGGCGGCGUGCCUAAUACAUGCAAGUAGAACGCACAGUUUAUACCGUAGCUUGCUACACCAUAAACUGUGAGUUGCGAACGGGUGAGUAACGCGUAGGUAACCUGCCUGGUAGCGGGGGAUAACUAUUGGAAACGAUAGCUAAUACCGCAUAAUAUUGAUUAUUGCAUGAUAAUUGAUUGAAAGAUGCUAUUGCAUCACUACCAGAUGGACCUGCGUUGUAUUAGCUAGUAGGUGAGGUAACGGCUCACCUAGGCGACGAUACAUAGCCGACCUGAGAGGGUGAGCGGCCACACUGGGACUGAGACACGGCCCAGACUCCUACGGGAGGCAGCAGGAGGGAAUCUUCGGCAAUGGACGAAAGUCUGACCGAGCAACGCCGCGGGAGUGAAGAAGGUUUUCGGAUCGUAAAGCUCUGUUGUAAGAGAAGAACGGGUGUGAGAGUGGAAAGUUCACACUGUGACGGUAUCUUACCAGAAAGGGACGGCUAACUACGUG
rnacentral:rRNA from 1 species